UACGAAGGGUGCAAGCGUUAAUCGGAAUUACUGGGCGGAAAGCGCGCGUAGGUGGUUCAGUAAGUUGGAUGUGAAAUCCCCGGGCUCAACCUGGGAACUGCAUCCAAAACUGCUGAGCUAGAGUACGGUAGAGGGUGGUGGAAUUUCCUGUGUAGCGGUGAAAUGCGUAGAUAUAGGAAGGAACACCAGUGGCGAAGGCGACCACCUGGACUGAUACUGACACUGAGGUGCGAAAGCGUGGGGAGCAAACAGG
rnacentral:rRNA from 1 species